rnacentral:lncRNA from 1 species
GUUGUCUUUGUCAAUUAUUAUAUAGGUAAAAAGAUUAUAAGUAUACAAAAAAGUAUACUAACAAAAUCGGCAAAUACGCAAUUUGUGUGUUUUACAAAUAUAAUUCUGUUUCAGUAAGACCAACAUGAGUCAUAAAAAAUGUGCAGUAUUGCACUGUAAUGGUACAGGUAAACGAAUGUUUACCUUUCCAAAGCCUACCAAAAAUAAAAAUAAGUUUUUAAAAUGGUUAUUGGCAUGCGGAGAUGAAAAAUUAUUAAAAAUAGCAGAGAAAAAAUAGCCAGCAGAACUAUUUGUGAGAAUCAUUUUGAGGAAAGAUAUAAGUUUCCAAAGAAAUUAAGCAAUGAUGCUAUGCCUACUUUAUUAUUACCAGAACCAAUUAAUAUUAUACAACAUGAAAGGAUUGAUGUUAGGAGACAUUUGGAAGUCCUCUGGACGUCCUCUGGACGUCUUUCAGAUAUUUUUUAAGAUCUUUUGUUGUCUUAUCAUAAUCAAAUUUUCUUUUUAACAAUCUCUUAUGUACUAAUAUUACUUUAAUUUAAUUAGAAUAUGAAGAAACAAACCAAAUUGAAGAUAUAGUUCAUAAUAGCAAUCGUCAAGAAUGAUCAUCAGGUACAGCAAUAUAAUUUGUUGAACGUGAUAUAAAGUCGCCGAAUUUAUGUUCAAGUAAAAACAGAUUGAGAAAACAU